CCUACGGGCGGCAGCAGUGGGGAAUAUUGGGCAAUGGACGCAAGUCUGACCCAGCAACGCCGCGUGAAGGAAGAAGGCUUUCGGGUUGUAAACUUCUGUUAAGGGGGAAGAGCAGAAGACGGUACCCCUUGAAUAAGCCACGGCUAACUACGUGCCAGCAGCCGCGGGAAUCCGUAAGUGGCAAGCGGUGGUCGGAUUUACUGGGUGUAAAGGGCGUGCAGCCGGGAAGGAAAGUCAGAUGGGAAAUCGCUCGGCUAAACCGCGGAACUGCAUUUGAAACUGUUUUUCUUGAGUAUCGGAGAGGUAAUCGGAAUGCCAAGUGUAGCGGUGAAAUGCGUAGAUAUUAGGAAGAACACCAGUGGCGAAGGCGGAUUACUGGACGACAACUGACGGUGAGGCGCGAAAGCGUGGGGAGCAAACAGGAUUAGAUACCCUAGUAGUC
rnacentral:rRNA from 1 species